CUAACAAGGAUUCCCUUAGUAACUGCGAGUGAAGUGGGAAAAGCUCAAAUUUAAAAUCUGGCAGUCUUUUGGCUGUCCGAGUUGUAAUCUAGAGAAGUGUUGCCCGUGCUGGACCAUGUGCAAGUCUCCUGGAAUGGAGCAUCACAGAGGGUGAGAAUCCUGUCUUUGACAUGGACUACCAGUGCUUUUGUGGUAUGCUCUCAAAGAGUCGAGUUGUUUGGGAAUGCAGCUCAAAAUGGGUGGUAAAUGCCAUCUAAAGCUAAAUAUUGGCGAGAGACCGAUAGUGAACAAGUACCGUGAGGGAAAGAUGAAAAGAACUUUGGAAAGAGAGUUAAACAGUACGUGAAAUUGCUGAAAGGGAAACGCUUGAAGUCAGUCACGUUGACUUGGAAUCAGCUCUGCUUUUGCUGGGUGUACUUUCUUGUCGAUGGGUCAGCAUCAAUUUUGAUCACUGGAUAAAGUUGUUGGGAAUGUAGCAUCUUUUGGAUGUGUUAUAGCCUGGCGAUGCAUACGGUGGUUGGGAUUGAGGAAUUCAGCACGCCCCACCAGGCCAGGUUUCGACCAUGUUCGUGCUUAGGAUGCUGGCAUAAUGGCUUUAAUUGACCCGUCUUGAAACACGGACCAAGGAGUCUAACAUAUCUGCGAGUGUUUGGGUGGAAAACCCAUGUGCGUAAUGAAAGUGAAAGUUGAGAUCCCUUCUUCAAGGGAGCAUCGACGCCCGGACCAGACCUUUUGUGACGGAUCCGCGGUAGAGCAUGUAUGUUGGGACCCGAAAGAUGGUGAACUAUGCCUGAAUAGGGUGAAGCCAGAGGAAACUCUGGUGGAGGCUCGUAGCGAUUCUGACGUGCAAAUCGAUCGUCAAAUUUGGGUAUAGGGGCGAAAGA
rnacentral:rRNA from 1 species